GUCCAGGGGAAUGUUGCCUUUUUAAAAGAAAUAGAAAGAUCUUGGGACAUUGAGACACUUUUUACAGAACAGGUGAACUGGUGUUGUGCGUGUGCUUCACACACAGUCACGGCUCCAAAGUUACAACAUGCAUCGAUCGAACAACAGAACAUUUAUACAGAAACAACUUACAGCUUAAGAAAGUCAACAGGUAUAAAUAUUACAAAACAAACAGUAGCCUGGAGACCUACAAACAACAGUAGAAGAGGUGGGCACAGUCAGAGAAUCUGUCAAAUUAUUUUCUUUUUUCUCUAGUUCCCAGAAAUUGAUGUACAUUACAAUGACUUGUGAAUUCGGCAAAGUUGUCGGUCAAUUCCAUCUAUAUAAAUGAUAUUAUGUUUUUAAUUAAAUUCAUAUUCACCAAAGCAUUUUAAAUGGACCUCAACCUUGAAAUCAAAUGUACACGUCAAUGCCAUUAAGCUGAUUCCUAAAUUGUAUGUUUUUCAUAUCUUAUCAAAAAAGAAGAAAUAAUGUCACUUGAUUGUGCUUUUUUUCAUUAAAACACCAGAUUUAGAACUCUUUUUGACCCCAGAAACUUUUUACUCUGGACCACAGUAAACGUUAAAGCUCUUGAACACUAUAGGAUGCUAGAAUGUUGGGUGACUCACUCAGAGACGGAAAAGAGGAACGAUGAGUAAAGUGCCCUUUCAGGAUAGUUUUUAUACAUACUGGGCAUUGGUCACAGUAUUGUAGUAAACAAACUCCACCUUGUCAGGAAAUUGUCCAGAAAUAUCCCCGCUCCCGAAGCAAAAACAUAGUCAAUGCUGCCAACAAACACGUCCUUUCUGUUUGUGUAUAUACUCUUUUUUUCAUGUCAUGUGAUUUAAUCUGUCUGUGUGAAUCCAUAGGAUCUUGUCUUCAUAAUGCUACAAUGUAUUUCAUGUCUAUUCACGAGGAAUUGAUUGUCAUAAUUUUUUAAAGAGAGUUUCCAUGACAAAGCUGUCCCUGACUCAAACAAUGUGUUCUUUCAGUGAGAGUGUUGAUGCAUGGUAAUGCGAAACAUGGGAAUGCAGCACAUAACUUUGUAUUAGAUAAUGC
ensembl:lncRNA